rnacentral:rRNA from 1 species
CAGCCGCCACGGUAAUACGAAGGGUGCAAGCGUUACUCGGAAUUACUGGGCGUAAAGCGUGCGUAGGUGGUGGUUUAAGUCCGUUGUGAAAGCCCUGGGCUCAACCUGGGAAUUGCAGUGGAUACUGGAUCACUAGAGUGUGGUAGAGGAUAGUGGAAUUUCCGGUGUAGCAGUGAAAUUCGUAGAUAUUGGGAAGAACACCGGUGGCGAAGGCGGCGACCUGGUCCAUAACUGACGCUGAGGCGCGAAAGCGUGGGGAGCAAACAGGAUUAGAUACCCGAGUAGUCCCUGUCUCUUAUAC